UAUUAUCAUGUAUUACCUUAGCUGUGGAAACUCCUCAUUACUAAGUUAAUAAAAUAUUUUUCUUCCUUCCCCCAUAAUUUUUCAUAACAAAAAGAUACAUGUCUUUGCAUUCAGAAUGAUCAAUAUCUCCACUUACGUAGGCAGGUGGUCACAUGUUCUUUGUUUUACUUUGUUUUUAUUUUUUCUAGGUUUUUUUUAUCAGGGCUGCAGGCGGCACAGGAAACGAGGGGGAUUCUGUUUUUCCAAAGGUCAGGCUUGGAUAUGCCAGUGAUUGCCUGGCUUGCAUAUGUGGAAAAACACCGUCAAAGAGCACAGCGGCUCUUUAUUUUUAAUUGUGCCUCCCAAGAUUGAUUUACCAUCCUCUGUCUUCCCCGUUGGAAACUGAAGAGGGCACAAUGCCUAUGUUAUAUAGGUACCAAGCUGAAGCUGGAGUGGAAGAAGAAAGUUUGUUCUGAAAAAGCAGCAGUGCUGGAAUGGGAUGUGGAGACUUGGAUUGUUUUUCAGUUCCAGAGACAUGUAUGGAUGAUAAAGAUGAUAAAGAAAGGGUAUAGAAGGACAAAAUCAGUAAAAUGAUGGUCGAGGUUUUCAGAAGCAAUUGUGAAGGCUACAUCACCAAUCCAGCUACUGCUGAGAAUCCAGAAUGUGGUUACACAACACUUGCUAAAAUUCAGCUCCCUUUGAAGAAUGCUGAACUGGCACCUUAAAGUCACCGGUAAGUUUAAACAAGCACAGCCUGUUGCUGCAGCCUAUCUUUUCAUCCUUCAGUACAAAAGAGUUAGGCUAGAGGACAUUGCAAGUGGAUUUUCAGGAUGAAAUCCAUCAAGUCCAAAACAAAUAUCAUCUCAGCAACUUAGGAGAAAGAUUUUCACUCUAAGGAUUCAGGUUGCUUUCCUUGAGCUCCUCAGACCUCUGUCCCCUUCCUGUGCCAGCUCAUCUCUGCAUUGAUUUCAUGACGUGUAGUAUCACUGCUGGUAACUAUCAGCAAAGCCAGUUAUCCAAAGACCUGCACAGGGGAGACUGCUUUCCACUCUGUGAGCUCUGGCCCUAUUGUUUAUGACAGCACUAGGUGACCUAAUUCACUCCAGUGAGUCCAUCACACAUGGUGGUUUUCUCCUCUGGCAGGCUAUUGUUACCAUCCCUCCUGCUAGUAAUCUGCUAGCCUUAGCCUCAUGUUCAUGCAAACACAAAACUACACCCUGAUGGGGCCAUUAUUGAAAGAUCAUCUAGUUAGUGGAUAUUUACAUGGGCAUAGUGAGCACAGGACAUGAGCCUAGAGCUACUUGGACAAACCUUAGCAUAGCAUACUAUGUGGAGUGCUUUGAGUUCUUAUUUUAGCUUCUCUGACCAGCACUGGAGCAGGAUAGAGAUCUGCUGAUACUGAGAUGUUCAUGGUGUUAUUACAACACAGUUAUAAGCUGUUAAGUCUAUAACCAGAUAGAAAGCCCUGUUCACUACGACCCUACAUACAUGGACAUCUUUUGGGGCAGAAAGUUUCUCCUGCACAAAGCACAGACAGGAAUGAAGGCACAAUCUCCCCAAAGAAAAUCCCUAGUAGUUGUAAAGGUGUAUUUAGUCAAACAGUUUUUAUUCUGUUCCAUAGAGAGCACUGGUACAUACAUGCAUAUGUGUGUAUUUACAAACACAUACAUUACCGUGUUUUAGAUUGCGGAGUGAAUGGAUAUCUUAUUUUAGUGUAGAUUAUUCUGUGAUUUGACAGAGGGUGAGAACAAAGAAAAGAUGACAUUACUCCAAGGAGUUAAAGAAAGGUUUUGAAUUCUUCCUGCCUGCUCAGGCCAGUGUUAUGUAAGUCCCCAGGAGGACUCCCUGGAAAAUUGAACAAAGUCUAGCAGAGGAACAUAACCCAGUAGCCACUCACACUCUUAGCCAGGGAUCUAAGUGAAUGUUGAUGAGAAGGGGAGUAGGUGGAGAUGUCUCCAUGAGAUUGAAAAUCUCAGCAGGACCUGGCAUGGAUUCCUCUGGAAGGAGCUGCUCUUGCCUAGAGCAAUGUUGCUCUGAAGGAGCUGAGCAUUUGUAUUGAGCUGAGAGGAGUGGUCAUCACACUGCUGCUGGCAUCCCAAGCUUUAUAUGUAUUCUGACUAUAGGAAGAUUUUUACAUCUUUUCAUCUAAAAUUGUUGUUAAGCAGAAGGAAUGAUGUUCCGUCCAUGCUAGUGUUUCAAGUUAGGUGAUAAAAAAGAAUUUCUAGCUGUGAAAUAACCACUUUGUUCUACUUACUGCUCAAAUGAAACCUAAGCAGAAUUCUGCUCUUU